CAGCUCGAGUGGUCGUCGCUUUUAUUGGGCCUAAAACGUCCGUAGCCUGUUUGGUAAAUCUGUGGGUAAAUCAACCAGCUUAACUGGUUGAAUUCUGCAGAGACUGCCAGACUAGGGACCGGGAGAGGUGUGGGGUACUCUAGGGGUAGGGGUAAAAUCCUGUCAUCCUUAGAGGACCACCAGUUGCGAAGGCGCCACACUAGAACGGAUCCGACGGUCAGGGACGAAGCCUAGGGGCACGAACCGGAUUAGAUACCCGGGUAGUCCUAGGUGUAAACGCUGUGAACUUGGUGUCGGGAGUCCGCAAUGGGCCCCCGGUGCCGGAGUGAAGAUGUUAAGUUCACUGCCUGGGGAGUACGGUCGCAAGGCAGCUCGAGUGGUCGUCGCUUUUAUUGGGCCUAAAACGUCCGUAGCCUGUUUGGUAAAUCUGUGGGUAAAUCAACCAGCUUAACUGGUUGAAUUCUGCAGAGACUGCCAGACUAGGGACCGGGAGAGGUGUGGGGUACUCUAGGGGUAGGGGUAAAAUCCUGUCAUCCUUAGAGGACCACCAGUUGCGAAGGCGCCACACUAGAACGGAUCCGACGGUCAGGGACGAAGCCUAGGGGCACGAACCGGAUUAGAUACCCGGGUAGUCCUAGGUGUAAACGCUGUGAACUUGGUGUCGGGAGUCCGCAAUGGGCCCCCGGUGCCGGAGUGAAGAUGUUAAGUUCACUGCCUGGGGAGUACGGUCGCAAGG
rnacentral:rRNA from 1 species